GACGAACGCUGGCGGCGUGCUUAACACAUGCAAGUCGAACGGAAAGGCCCUGCUUUUGUGGGGUGCUCGAGUGGCGAACGGGUGAGUAACACGUGAGUAACCUGCCCUUGACUUUGGGAUAACUUCAGGAAACUGGGGCUAAUACCGGAUAGGAGCUCCUGCUGCAUGGUGGGGGUUGGAAAGUUUCGGCGGUUGGGGAUGGACUCGCGGCUUAUCAGCUUGUUGGUGGGGUAGUGGCUUACCAAGGCUUUGACGGGUAGCCGGCCUGAGAGGGUGACCGGCCACAUUGGGACUGAGAUACGGCCCAGACUCCUACGGGAGGAAGCAGUGGGGAAUAUUGCACAAUGGGCGGAAGCCUGAUGCAGCAACGCCGCGUGCGGGAUGACGGCCUUCGGGUUGUAAACCGCUUUCGCCCGUGACGAAGCGUGAGUGACGGUAAUGGGUAAAGAAGCACCGGCUAACUACGUG
rnacentral:rRNA from 1 species